rnacentral:rRNA from 1 species
AGAGUUUGAUCCUGGCUCAGGAUGAACGCUGGCGGUAUGCCUAACACAUGCAAGUCGUACGAGAGUUUUUAACUCUAGUGGCGGACGGGUGCGUAACGCGUAAGAACCUACCUAUCGGCGGGGGAUAACAUUGGGAAACUGUUGCUAAUACCCUAUACAGCUGAGGAGUGAAAGGUGAAUAACCACCGAUAGAGGGGCUUGCGUCUGAUUAGCUAGUUGGGGGGGUAAUGGCCUCCCAAGGCCACGAUCAGUAGCUGGUCUGAGAGGAUGAUCAGCCACACUGGAACUGAGACACGGUCCAGACUCCUACGGGAGGCAGCAGUGGGGAAUUUUCCGCAAUGGGCGAAAGCCUGACGGAGCAAUACCGCGUGAGGGAAGAAUGCCUAUGGGUUGUAAACCUCUUUUUUCAGGGAGGAAUAAAAUGACGUGUCCCUGAAGAAUAAGCAUCGGCUAACUCCGUGCCAGCAGCCGCGGUAAG